rnacentral:rRNA from 1 species
AUUGAACGCUGGCGGCAUGCUUUACACAUGCAAGUCGAACGGUAACGCGGGGCAACCUGGCGACGAGUGGCGAACGGGUGAGUAACGCAUCGGAACGUGCCCAGUAGUGGGGGAUAGCCCGGCGAAAGCCGGAUUAAUACCGCAUACGACCUACGGGUGAAAGGGGGGGAUCGCAAGACCUCUCGCCAUUGGAGCGGCCGAUGCCAGAUUAGGUAGUUGGUGGGGUAAAGGCCUACCAAGCCGACGAUCUGUAGCUGGUCUGAGAGGACGACCAGCCACACUGGGACUGAGACACGGCCCAGGCUCCUACGGGAGGCAGCAGUGGGGAAUUUUGGACAAUGGGCGAAAGCCUGAUCCAGCCAUGCCGCGUGCGGGAAGAAGGCCUUCGGGUUGUAAACCGCUUUUGUCAGGGAAGAAAUCUUCUGGGUUAAUACCUCGGGAGGAUGACGGUACCUGAAGAAUAAGCACCGGCUAACUAUGUGCCAGCAGCCGCCGCCG